CAGCCGCCACGGGAAUACGGAGGGUGCAAGCGUUAUCCGGAUUUAUUGGGUUUAAAGGGUCCGUAGGCGGAUCUGUAAGUCAGUGGUGAAAUCUCACAGCUUAACUGUGAAACUGCCAUUGAUACUGCAGGUCUUGAGUAAAUUUGAAGUGGCUGGAAUAAGUAGUGUAGCGGUGAAAUGCAUAGAUAUUACUUAGAACACCAAUUGCGAAGGCAGGUCACUAAGAUUUAACUGACGCUGAUGGACGAAAGCGUGGGGAGCGAACAGGAUUAGAUACCCCUGUAGCCCUGUCUCUUAUACA
rnacentral:rRNA from 1 species